rnacentral:lncRNA from 1 species
AUAUACCCAGCCAGCAGCUCUCCUUCACCGGACUCCUCUCCUUUCUCAGCUGACCCAUCGACCUCUCUCUCCAGGUCAACGGACAGACCCAGCCACAACCAAACUCUCCCCCUCACCAGACUGACCCGUCUUCUCCCCUCAGCCGCAAGCCUCCCCUUCAGCUGCAAGACAACCACCCCAUUUCCACAGCCCCCAUUUCCACCGAUCUUCCCUCACCAGCGGCCACGGACGACCACCGCCAGCCGAAGAAGAAAGAAGGGUCGGCGAUCAACCCGAUCCAGUGGGUAACCGGCCGCACG